AGAGUUUGAUCCUGGCUCAGGAUGAACGCUAGCUACAGGCUUAACACAUGCAAGUCGAGGGGCAGCAUGAAAGUUUGCUUGCAAACUUUUGAUGGCGACCGGCGCACGGGUGAGUAACACGUAUCCAACCUGCCUCAUACUCGGGGAUAGCCUUUCGAAAGAAAGAUUAAUACCCGAUGUCAUAGUCCUACUGCAUGAUGGGAUUAUUAAAGAAUUUCGGUAUGGGAUGGGGAUGCGUUCCAUUAGUUAGUUGGCGGGGUAACGGCCCACCAAGACAACGAUGGAUAGGGGUUCUGAGAGGAAGGUCCCCCACAUUGGAACUGAGACACGGUCCAAACUCCUACGGGAGGCAGCAGUGAGGAAUAUUGGUCAAUGGACGAGAGUCUGAACCAGCCAAGUAGCGUGAAGGAUGACUGCCCUAUGGGUUGUAAACUUCUUUUAUAUGGGAAUAAAAUGUUCCACGUGUGGGAUUUUGUAUGUACCAUAUGAAUAAGGAUCGGCUAACUCCGUGCCAGCAGCCGCGGUAAUACGGAGGAUCCGAGCGUUAUCCGGAUUUAUUGGGUUUAAAGGGAGCGUAGGUGGAUUGUUAAGUCAGUUGUGAAAGUUUGCGGCUCAACCGUAAAAUUGCAGUUGAAACUGGCAGUCUUGAGUACAGUAGAGGUGGGCGGAAUUCGUGGUGUAGCGGUGAAAUGCUUAGAUAUCACGAAGAACUCCGAUUGCGAAGGCAGCUCACUGGACUGCAACUGACACUGAGGCUCGAAAGUGUGGGUAUCAAACAGGAUUAGAUACCCUGGUAGUCCACACAGUAAACGAUG
rnacentral:rRNA from 1 species